AUUCCAGCUCCAAUAGCGUAUAUUAAAGUUGUUGCAGUUAAAAAGCUCGUAGUUGGAUUUCUGGCAGGAUGACUUUGCCCUCUGUAGAGUGCGCAAUGCUGUCCUACCAUCCUUCUGUUUACCCUGGAGGCCUUUAACAGCUUGUAGGGGGCUCAGAUAUUUUACCUUGAGAAAAUUAGAGUGUUUCGGGCAGGCUAGCGCCGGAAUACAUUAGCAUGGAAUAAUAGAAUAGGACUUAAGCCUCUUCUGUUGGUCUGAGGGGUGUAAGUAAUGAUUAAUAGGGAUAGUUGGGGGCAUUAGUACUUAACUGUCAGAGGUGAAAUUCUCGGAUUUGUUAAAGACUAACUUAUGCGAAAGCAUUUGCCAAGGAUGUUUUCAUUG
rnacentral:rRNA from 1 species